rnacentral:rRNA from 1 species
GGUCCCAAGGUUAUGGCUGUGCGCCAUUUAAAGUGGUACGCGAGCUGGGUUUAGAACGUCGUGAGACAGUUCGGUCCCUAUCUGGUGUGGGCGUUGGAUGAUUGAUGGGAGCUGCUCCUAGUACGAGAGGACCGGAGUGGACGUAUCUCUGGUGUUCCGGUUGUCACGCCAGUGGCACUGCCGGGUAGCUAUAUACGGACAGGAUAACCGCUGAAAGCAUCUAAGCGGGAAGCCUCCCUCAAGAUGAGAUCUCCCUGGGGGCUUACCCCCCUAAAGGGCCGUUGAA